GUCCCUGCUGUGACUACAGUAUCAACCCUGGUCCCACUGUGGAUCUUUCUUGAAGCCCCUGGAUGACUCCCACAGUGGAGGAGGGGCCCUUUGUCACAGUGGAUGACCCAGCACUGGCUCCUGCACCUGGACUCUGGACCCUGCUCCAGGUCAUCCACACCCACACAAACUCCACAGGAGUCUGCUGCUGGACGCUGUCAGGCCCAUGAAGCUCUGCUGUAAAGGCUUCCAUGUCCCAGGCUUCACCUUUACCUGCUGACCAAUGGGAGGCGUGGCCAAAACACAGAUGGCGAGUGGAGCAGCAGGUAGGAGAGGGCUCUGAGACCUGGACAUCACCUGGAGGAUGACCACCUUGUGCCUGAACUGGCUCACAUCCAUCCCAGUGAGAGCCCAGACUGGGAGGAAACCAUCAGUGCCAUGGUGGCAAGUACCUCAGUCGGGUCGUCUAUGUUGCUGCGCCGUCCACGCGUAGCAUCAUGUCAACAAAAGUCGGGAGAAAGCGUCAGAGUCCAAUUUGGGAUUACUUUGAAUAUGACUAUGUUUUGGAUAAAGCAAGUGUCUUGUAGUGGAAAGAGACAAAUUAUGAGGGACAUUUCUAAAGGGAAAGAAAUCCCACAAACCUUAAAAUGCACUUGAAAAGCUCACACAAGAAGGCUAACCUAGCUUACCUGGAGAAGGUAAGGGAGCACGCCCAACCCUCAUCCCCAGAAACAGAAGCUAACACAGGCAAGGCAGCGUGAUGCAUCCCGAGACAACAGGACUGGGAUAUCUACAUAACUGUGUGAGUCAAUUGCCUUCAAAAAGUUUAUCAAUUCACUUGGACCAAAAUUACGAACACCCGGUGCUGCAAGAGUUAAUAGUCUCAUUGGGGCCAAGAUAUACAUUUUAUAGUUGCCUGGUAUCAAUGGUUGUUCAUCUGCCUUUAUUUAUUUAUUUAAAGAACCCAUAGGUGGGAAUGUGAGUUGUCUGUCUCUGCAUGUUAGCCCUGCGACAGACAGGCGACCUGUCCAGGGCGCAGGGUAUGGUAGCUGGAAUAGCAACAUACCCAAGGAUAAGCAGAAGAGAAUGACUGAUAUGAUGAAACUGGGAUUUUGUUACACUUUAUUGCAAACACAACUAAAACUAUAACUGAAACUAAUCAAAACUAAACUGAAACUAAGGAUUUUCAAAAAAAUAAAAACUAAACUAAACUAGCAAACAAUUGGUAAAAACUAAUUAAAACUAAUAUAAAAUUGAAAAUCUGAAGUCAAAA
rnacentral:lncRNA from 1 species